rnacentral:rRNA from 1 species
GACGAACGCUGGCGGCGUGCUUAACACAUGCAAGUCGAACGGAAAGGCCCUGCUUUUGUGGGGUGCUCGAGUGGCGAACGGGUGAGUAACACGUGAGUAACCUGCCCUUGACUUUGGGAUAACUUCAGGAAACUGGGGCUAAUACCGGAUAGGAGCCCCUCUUCCAGGGUGGGGGUGGGAAAUUUUCGGCGGUUGGGGAUGGACUCGCGGCUUACCGGCUUGUUGGUGGGGUAGUGGCUGACCAAGGCUUUGACGGGUAGCCGGCCUGAGAGGGUGACCGGCCACAUUGGGACUGAGAUACGGCGCAGACUCCUACGGGAGGCAGCAGUGGGGAAUAUUGCACAAUGGGCGGAAGCCUGAUGCAGCAACGCCGCGUGCGGGAUGACGGCCUUCGGGUUGUAAACCGCUUUCGCCUGUGACGAAGCGUGAGUGACGGUAAUGGGUAAAGAAGCACCGGCUAACUACGUG